AAACUUUCAACAACGGAUCUCUUGGCUCUGGCAUCGAUGAAGAACGCAGCGAAAUGCGAUAAGUAAUGUGAAUUGGCAGAAUUUAGUGAAUCAUCGAAUCUUUGAACGCACAUUGCGCCCCUUGGUAUUCCGAGGGGCAUGCCUGUUCGAGCGUC
rnacentral:rRNA from 1 species